GGCGGCGGAGAUGGAGGAGGGAGGCCGGGACAAGGCGCCGGUGCAGCCCCAGCAGUCUCCAGCGGCGGCCCCCGGCGGCACGGACGAGAAGCCGAGCGGCAAGGAGCGGCGGGAUGCCGGGGACAAGGACAAAGAACAGGAGCUGGUGAGGCGCGACCCCGAGAGUCGGCGAAGGAGGCCGCGGGGCUGAGUCACGGCGGCUCCGCAGGCCUCAGGCCCGACACCCAACUACCCCACCGCGCCAGGGAGAGGGCGAUUGGGGCGACCCUCGGGACUCCCGGCACCUUGCCUCUCUGCUCCUCAUUCUCCGUUCCGCGCUGUCACCUCCGCCGUCCCCACCAACCCUCACCACCGCCGCGUGAGGUGGACUCGGGCAGGUCAUUGUCACCUCCGUUUCCUAGAGUGGCAUUCAAGUAGAGCCUGAUUCAGAACCCAGGCUGAUUUCUCACCAGGGCUUCCCAUUCCCACUCGGUUUCCUUGUCCACCUGGCGCCUCCUAAGGAGGCAGGCUUAUUCUUCACCUGCCCCGGGUAAGUGGGAGGGGACGUCUUUGGGAUUCCUUCUCUUCAUGAGCUGCUUCUCCCAACCCUCCAGUCUGAAGAGGAUAAACAGCUUCAGGAUGAACUGGAGAUGCUCGUGGAACGACUAGGGGAGAAGGACACAUCCCUGUAUCGACCAGCGCUGGAGGAAUUGCGAAGGCAGAUUCGUUCUUCUACAACUUCCAUGACUUCAGUGCCCAAGCCUCUCAAAUUUCUGCGUCCACACUAUGGCAAACUGAAGGAAAUCUAUGAGAACAUGGCCCCUGGGGAGAAUAAG
rnacentral:sRNA from 1 species